rnacentral:rRNA from 1 species
GAUCUGAGAUGAGGCCUUCGGGCUCGACCUCCAACCCUUUGUGAACACAACUUGUUGCUUCGGGGGCGACCCUGCCGUUUCGACGGCGAGCGCCCCCGGAGGCCUUCAAACACUGCAUCUUUGCGUCGGAGUUUAAGUAAAUUAAACAAAACUUUCAACAACGGAUCUCUUGGUUCUGGCAUCGAUGAAGAACGCAGCGAAAUGCGAUAAGUAAUGUGAAUUGCAGAAUUCAGUGAAUCAUCGAAUCUUUGAACGCACAUUGCGCCCCUUGGUAUUCCGAGGGGCAUGCCUGUUCGAGCGUCAUUUCACCACUCAAGCCUCGCUUGGUAUUGGGCGCCGCGGUGUUCCGCGCGCCUCAAAGUCUCCGGCUGAGCUGUCCGUCUCUAAGCGUUGUGAUUUCAUUAAUCGCUUCGGAGCGCGGGCGGUCGCGGCCGUUAAAUCUUUCACAAGGUUGACCUCGGAUCAGGUAGGGAUACCCGCUGAACUUAAGCAUAUCAAAAAGCCGGGAGGGAAUAA